AUUGAACGCUGGCGGCAUGCCUUACACAUGCAAGUCGAACGGCAGCACGGGUGCUUGCACCUGGUGGCGAGUGGCGAACGGGUGAGUAAUACAUCGGAACAUGUUCUGCAGUGGGGGAUAGCCCGGCGAAAGCCGGAUUAAUACCGCAUACGAUCCACGGCUGAAAGCGGGGGUCCUUCGGGCCUCGCGCCCUAGGGUUGGCCGAUGCCUGAUUAGCCAGUUGGUGGGGUAAAGGCCUACCAAGGCGACGAUCAGUAUCUGGUCUGAGAAGACGACCAGCCACACUGGGACUGAGACACGGCCCAGACUCCUACGGGAGGCAGCGGUGGGGAAUUUUGGACAGUAGGCGGAAGCCUGAUCCAGCAAUGCCGCGUGUGUGAAGAAGGCCUUCGGGUUGUAAAGCACUUUGGUCCGGAAAGAAAUCCUUGGCCCUAAUACGGUCGGGGGAUGACGGUACCGGAAGAAUAAGCACCGGCUAACUACGUG
rnacentral:rRNA from 1 species